rnacentral:rRNA from 1 species
UACGUAGGAUCCGAGCGUUGUCCGGAGUUACUGGGUGUAAAGGGUGCGUAGGCUGUUCUGUGCGUCAGAGGUGAAAUCCACGAGCUUAACUCGUGGGGUGCCUUUGAUACGGCAGGGCUUGAGUACGAGAGAGGUGCGUGGAAUUCCUGGUGUAGCAGUGAAAUGCGUAGAUAUCAGGAGGAACACCGGUGGCGAAGGCGGCGCACUGGCUCGUAACUGACGCUGAGGCACGAAAGCGUGGGGAUCAAACAGGAUUAGAUACCCUGGUAGUCCACGCCUUAAACGAUGCAUGCUUGGUGUUGGUCUCGCAAGAGAUCAGUGCCGUAGUUAACAUGAUAAGCAUGCCACCUGGGGAGUACGAUCGCAAGGUUG